rnacentral:misc_RNA from 1 species
ACAAAAUUUUCUGGAUCCAACCCUGCCUCCUCCCAAGAUAUAAGUAUGCAAUAUAGGAAAUGUGAAAUAAUUGUGUUCAUUUAGCUUUCUCAUUAUGUUCUUUCAUUAAUUUGAAAUUUAAACAUUUACCCAUGACUCCUCUCCCCCACUCCUUUUCCUACUGCUGGUCCAGGUAUAUUCCAUUAAAUGUCAAAAAAAGGGUGAAAAAGAUUUUGAAUUCGGUGCAUUAUGUUUGGCCCUUUCUGGAUUGGUUGUGGAUUAAAGUUUACUUUUGUCGUACUUCUUUCCCACUGAAAAUGAGCUAGCAUUCCUUUUUCCUUUGUUCUCCUCCUCUCUCUUUCUCCCUCAUUUGUAUGCAUGACCGUGUCUAUGCAGAAGGAAAUAUGAAAAAGUAACAAGUGUUGUUAUAAUAAGUCGAUCAACUUAUAGAAUUUAGAACCUUUUGGAAGUGGUUCUGAAUAAAGCUUAAUCGUUAUUCUUACACGUCUUCUCCCCUGAAAAUGGGUUUGCUCUUUUAAGGAGAUAAAAAAGGAUGCAUAAAAUACUUUGGUGCAUAAUUAUUUAUUAAUUAUUACUAUUUACUAAAAUAAACCUUUUAUUGAUGUCAGAGU